rnacentral:lncRNA from 1 species
AGUCAAUCCCUACAUCUAUCGAGCCAACUCAUAGUCACCUCAACUCGACCUCUACUUGAUUUGAGUUGAUUCGACUGCGACUGAUAGCUUCAAUGGCUAGUAUUGUAGAACUUCCCAAAUUAUACAGAAUGACUAUAAUGAUUAGUUUUUGAUCUUCAAUAGCUAGAAAUGGCUCUUUGGAUAUUUAAUAAGUUUCAAUGGCUGCCAAACAAAGAG